CGUUAUCAAGUAUUUGAAGUACCAACUCCAACAACUUCAACAAGUAUUAAUUCUGGAAUUUUCAUUGGAGAUUCGGUCGCAACAGUGGUAAAUUGCAGUUCUAACAGCCAGAAUUAGCCAAGAUUUGAACCAGUGCUCUCUAGAAUAUAAGUGCUCUAUCGCAGAAAACGAAUGAAGGAUGUUUGUACCUGACAUGGCAACUGUGCGGUACGGUAACGUGGGAAAUCGACAGUUGCACUCCAACUUAUCGAUACUGAUGCAUAGUCCCACAUGCAGAAGGCGUGGUUGUUCUAGGAAACCCAAAAUAGGUUAAUGUGGCGGAGAAUAUGGAAAUGGCUGUCUUCUGGGUUGAUGCGCCGUGUAGUCUGGUAGAUGUUUACCAACGUUUCA